rnacentral:rRNA from 1 species
UACGUAGGGAGCAAGCGCUGUCCGGAAUCAUUGGGCGUAAAGCGCGCGUAGGCGGCCCCGUAAGUCCGCUGUGAAAGUCAAAGGCUCAACCUUUGAAAGCCGGUGGAUACUGUGGGGCUAGAGUCCGGAAGAGGCGAGUGGAAUUCCUGGUGUAGCGGUGGAAUGCGCAGAUAUCAGGAGGAACACCAAUAGCGAAGGCAGCUCGCUGGGACGGUACUGACGCUAAGGCGCGAAAGCGUGGGGAGCGAACAGG